AGUGAACGCUGGCGGCGUGCUUAACACAUGCAAGUCGAACGAGAACGGGAUAUAGCUUGCUAUAUUUGUCAGCUAAGUGGCGCACGGGUGAGUAAUGUAUAGGUAAUAUGCCUCUUACUAAGGGAUAACAAUUGGAAACGAUUGCUAAUACCUUAUAUGCCUUUAAGACUAAAGUCUGCAAGGGAAAGAUUUAUUGGUAAGAGAUUAGCCUGUAUUGUAUCAGCUAGUUGGUGAGGUAAUGGCUCACCAAGGCUAUGACGCAUAACUGGUUUGAGAGGAUGAACAGUCACACUGGAACUGAGACACGGUCCAGACUCCUACGGGAGGCAGCAGUGGGGAACAUUGCACAAUGGACGAAAGUCUGAUGCAGCAACGCCGCGUGGAGGAUGACACAUUUCGGUGCGUAAACUCCUUUUAUAUAGGAAGAUAAUGACGGUACUAUACGAAUAAGCACCGGCUAACUCCGUGCCAGCCGCCGCGGUAAUAC
rnacentral:rRNA from 1 species